CUAAAAUGGCAGACCAUUGCUUAGGACUUAAACCCCUACCACGAAGUUAUUCACUUCUUUUAGAAA
rnacentral:tRNA from 1 species